GAAACCCCUACUACUAAUAUGCACAAAACUCAAAACCAUGUUCUAAAUACAAUGCAGGACACCAACAGAAGGCACCAAAGACUAACCUAUACACCCAAAUGCUGGGACUAACACUAUAAAAGAAUCAUAUGUUGAUUCUAAAUUUUUUGUUUACACUGUUUUAUUCCUAUGAUAUGGCUGCCAGAAACCCAUUCCAGCAUCCAUCCAAUGCAAUACUUACCAGGAGCUCAUCCUCAGCUCUGGUAGUAUAUGAGGUUUUUAAUACACUAGGGUAAAGGAAGAANGCAUCUUCCACAUUUCUUCUCCGCCAUUUGGAGCGACACAGACCUCUGACUUCUCUGGUGAGAACGACUAUGUAUGACCUCUAGAAUGCAAGAUAAAUAGUUUGCAAGGCUAGAUUCGAAGCCCGCCACUCAAGUAGCAGUUCCGCUGCUCUUAGUCCUGCUGCAGUCUUAAGGAUACCUUUAUCAACACCUCACCCAGCUGUUUGGUCAGAACUGCUGCCCUGCAUAUACUGAGNGGAACUAUAAACUGUGGUUGUGCUGGAACAUGUGCACCCAUACCUGUAGGAUAUGGUGCUUGAAUAGAGGGCAUAGGUGAAGUUGUUAUUGCAUUAACACUAGGUCCACCAAACUGCACAAUAUGAUGACCUGGCAUGGCAUACCCCUGCACUGCUGUAUAACCAUGACCUCCAGGAAGGGCUUGCCCCAACUGUCCAUAAGGAUAAAUUGCUGUGUUAACUGUUCCAGGUACACCGUAUACCUGAAGGUACUGCUGACCUGCAUAAGGGUUGUAGACGCCCUGCGGGUAGACAUAUUCAGGUCCAUACGUUGCAUAUCCAUAUGGAUGAUACAUCAAUCCUUGUUGGUAGUUGUAAGGAAGUGGCUGCUGGUACCCAAAAUUUCCAACAUAUGUCCCCCUGGGGGUUUGCACACUUGCAAUAAAUGGGGUAGCUGGUCUCAAACGUCCAUAAGGCAGUGGUGGUCGAGGUCGCCCAAGUGAAGCCAAAUUACAAUUUGCCCGUCUACCAUCAAUCAUUGGAGUAGGAUCAGCACAGGCUCUCUUAGCAGCCUCUGGUUCCCGGAAAGUCACAAAACCAUAGCCUUUUGAUCGGCCGGUAUUCUUAUCGGUGAUGACAACGGCUUCAAGAAUUUCUCCAAACUGCUCGAAAUAACGACGCAUGGUCUCGCUCUGAGUCUCCCAAGCAAGCCCCCCAACGAAAACCUUGGUGUAAGUGGUAUCUCCAAAAGGAGAAUUCAAAUAUUGAAACCCUGAACUCGAACUCGAUCCCGAGCUAGGACCCGGAAUCGGUUGAUAAGCCAUGAAUUGAAAUGAAAGCGAAAUCGAAAAUUCCUAAAGAAGAAAAGAAAAGAAAAGGCAAGAGAACCUAGUUCAAAUCCGAAAUUGGAAUUGAGGUAAAAAAAGAAGGAAGAUUCCAGUAUAAAAAGAAGGCAGUGAUCAAAUUGGAGGAGGAUUAAGUGAUACUAAAGUCGACCCAAUAGACAAUAAGCCGCAUCUUAAAAGAAAAACCCUAGAAAAACCCUAGAAUUGGAAGAAAUA
rnacentral:misc_RNA from 1 species